rnacentral:rRNA from 1 species
UACGUAGGGGGCGAGCGUUGUCCGGAUUUAUUGGGCGUAAAAGGCUUGUAGGUGGCCACGUCAAGUCGGAUGUGAAAUCUCCCGGCUCAACUGGGAGGGGUCAUUCGAUACUGGCGGGCUCGAGGCCGGUAGGGGGAAGCGGAAUUCCCGGUGUAGUGGUGGAAUGCGUAGACAUCGGGAGGAACACCAGUGGCGAAGGCGGCUUCCUGGACCGGUUCUGACACUGAGGAGCGAAAGCGUGGGGAGCGAUCCGG